AUUGUCCCAUUCUAUUUUGAGAAAUAGGACAAAAGUAAAUAUCGCGCAAAUACAAACAAAAAAUGUAACGAAUAACGAAAUCAUAAUCGAAUGUUUUCAUUGCAAUUCGCGCUAUCUUUGGAGAUUCCACGCAGUUACUAUGUACAAAUAUUUUAUUUUCAUGUUCUCAAUUAUACAGUGCGAGUCAUUGAACUUCUUAUGAAAUAUCUUGAAAAUAGAGUAUGCACAUACUGUAUAUAAGAAUAUUUCUCUGCCGAUUGCGUAAUUGCAAUUGAUACUUAUUAUUGUUUGUCGAAACAUAUCGUAAGAAAUAUUGCAAAUUAAUCUUCAUUUCAUUUUACAUGCAUCUUAAUACGGUAAAAAAAAAGAAGAAAAAGUUAAUCUCUUAAGCGUAUUAUUCUUGACUUAUUUUACACGAUAUGCAACACAUACGCGCCGAUUGUUACCAACUGGAUUAAUUUUCUACACGUUACGCAUCAUGCAAAUGUCACGUGUGUUUUUGUAAGGUACGAUCCCUGACAUAAGUUCAAUUACAAUCGCCAAUGACGACUCACAGCACCAACAACUAUGAGAACAUAACAGCCGCGCGUAUGGUAUUCCACUUUUUGCUCUGUUCGUUUUGCACGCGACGAUAAAAUAUUCAUACUGAAUGCGUUUCUCGAGUUUAUUUAAACCGGAGGGAAAACUACUGGUGUUUGACAAUAUUUCGCACUCUUGUCGUUAAACACGAGUUUCGAGACUCGUUCUACUGGUUGUUUCAUCGUUGAUGAGAAAUUUUGUUUGCUUACAGGAGUGAGAAGAAAAAUUGAAAUUGUGUGUUAAAAAUUAGAAUACCAUUAACAUCAACGAAUAGAAUAUUUCACGCAAAAGUCAACGUGUGUUAUUUUACACAAUAACUGACGAUUUUGCGCAUGGAAACACAAGUUUAUUCAAGAUAAUAGUUAACAACGUGUUAAGGUGAUACAAUCGAUUAUAGUUCCUUAAUUUAAAAAAAAACUAGAUACUUUUUAAAGAUAUGUAUCACGUGCAAAUGACGAAAAAUCAUAUAACGUUAUAGCGGAUUUAACGAAUAAAUUUAAUAUAAACAAAUAAUUUCGAAAAAUACUAAUUUAAUGUUCAACUCUAUUAAGAUUAAUUAUUCGUUCCUUUUUCUAUGUUCAUGGGUGUGAUUCAUGGGUUCAUCGAUGAUGAAACAACCAAUAUAAUAUGAAACGCUUCCAAGUACCAACGUCGCGCGUCACCUUUUGCACUCUGUUAAUAUCAUGCGACAAUGCAGUUAACGUUUCACGAUGUAGUAGAGGAGACAAAGUCAGCAGUGCGUUCUGCUCGAAACCGCGUAAUUUUCAUAUUGAAAAGUUACUGGAUAUUUCGCUGUGUUUCUCGCCUAUCACAAUUCGAGUCCAGAAUUCUCGAAGUUGAAAUAAAACGUACGUCUAUUGUGAAUUUGUCAGCAUUUUCUCAAACGUUAAAAUGAGGACUCUCAAGUCCUUCGUGUCCUAUAAAAAUUCCAUCUUCUCGGAUUUGAGUACUUCUCGAGUGAAUUGGAAUUUUCUGUCGUUAAAGGAUUUCGAAAAAAUUCGUAGAAAACAGAACUGCUCUCAAUACGCGUGAUUUUCCGUCCCGGAAUUUCACACUGAACAUUUUCUUCAAUUGUUAAAAAUCAUCGCGUUUGUGAGCGUGACGACGAUUGAAAAAAAAAUUUGGAGACCCGAAAAGGGCUAAUUACGUUUAAGAAAAUAUAAAUUUGCAUAAAUAUCCGCGGUCCAUCUAUUGAAGAAAAAAAAAGAGAAGAAGAAGGAAGAAAGUAACAGCAAAAGAGAGAAGGAGAAGAUGGAGAGCAGAAGGAGAGAAAUGGAGAUGCAACUGAGAAUCGCUGUCCGGUAAUAUUGAUAGUGAACAAUUACGCGUGGGCCGAGCCGCAGAUGCGCAAAAACGCCAAGAAUAGAAGCUCGUAGUAGCUAUAUCUACGAUAGACAACUUUAGAAUCCAUCAAAUCCAAACUCCGUGAUAAGAAUCUCCAUCGUUAUUCAAGCUCGAAGAAACACACAUAAAAGAAAAAAGGAAAAAAAGAUGGAACACACGAAAUACGUUUCAUCGCUGUUAGUUUACCAAUUAACGCCUCGUUAAUCUUUUCUAAUAUCUUGCAUAGAGGCGUUAAAUACCAAUAGCACGAACAACAUAAUAAGAUCGUGUUUUCUGAAUCAUCUCAAGGCGCUUCAUCUAAGCGAUUGGUAAUGCAAAUUACGAAGAUUAAUGAACGUCUACCGACGUAUCUGGCCUGCAUGGCGACUUCAAGCAAACAAGCAGCCAGAUUUUUGUUUUCAUGGAAAAUUACUGACAAAUUCCAUGGUGCAAUUUUCCGACUGGUCUACGUGACUUCAAUAUGUCACGUACAUCACACUCUGACGCGAUGCAGAUAAUAAAGAGGAUUACUUUAUCAAGAAUUUAAUCCUCUGUACUUAACUAUUCUCUCCAAAUACGGGAUAAACGUAUAGAAAAUUCAGUUCGAUGAUUAUGAUCGUUAAUAGGUAGAAAUAUGGAAAGGUGGUAAAAUCGGUCGGCUGUUAAGCCAGAAAGGCUGUUACAGGUGAAAGUUUACUGUGCAUUUUUCUUUUCAAUUAUAAAAUAUUAUAUAUAAUUUAAUAAAAUUAUAGAUCAGUGAAAUUGAAUGUUCUGUUAUUUUGUUUAAUCGCGAACUCUUAAAGGCUGUUACGGGUGAAACGCGUGCACCAUUACUGCGCCACAUUUUGUUUAAAUUAAAAAAUUAAUAUAGCUAAGCGCGACUAAAUAUUUUAUAGUUAUUCAAUGCAAUGUUUGCAGCUUUUACGAUAUUAUUACAACUAAAUAUACAUCUUAUUCAAGCAAACAUUCAUUUAUUACAGCAGACCACAAUUAUAUGAGUUAUUGUUGAACUGCAAAUAUCCAAUAGGAUAAAAGUUGAGUAAAAAAAUAGUUAUGUCGGGCUCUAUACAAGUAUAGUUCUAACUGAGAUUAGUACAAUUGUUAAUACUACUUUAUUUGUUCGCUUUAUUUUACGAUCUCAAUAUGUAUAUCGUUUCUAUUCGCUACACGAAGAAUUCGAAGAAUUUAUCAUCUAGUAUUUAGUCGUUGCUCGAGCUACAACUGGACAAUGGAGGUGUCGAAUUGGACCUUCGUUGCUACGUGAAACGCGUAUGCAAGGUAUCCGCGAUCAUUUAGGAACAAUUAGACCGAGAUAUUUGGAUAAUAGGAGAGCUGGAACGACAGCAGCGGAAAUUUUUGGAAAUUCAAUUCUGACGGAGACAACGAUCAUAUCUUAUUUACGCUCGACCACUGUUUUAUCGUCAACCAGCUGUGUUUUCAGAGCUGCACGCGAUUUCGCACCCUAACGAACGCGCGAUAAGGAAAGUGUAAUUUGCAUAUAAUUAAUAGACAGAGCAUUUUGAUACUGUGUGUAAAUUCGUAGUCUAUACGGACAAUUUAGAUUUCAUUCUCAUGCAUUCGAUAGUUGUUAAAAUGAUCAUUCUAAUAAAACAAAAAAAUACUGCAGAUAAGAAAACAAAUAAAGAAAUUAAUUAAUCGACGUUUACUUUUAUAAAUAUUAUGUGACUGUGAAUUUAUAGCUCGUGUAGAAAAUUCCAUUUUUUAAUUUUUUUCUUUAAAUAUUCAGUACACGUAAUUUCAGCGAAAAAUCGACGCGAAUCGACAAAAUCAUUAUCGACACGAUUUUAAUUCCAGCGUUAGAAAAAAAAAGAACUGAAUAAAUGAUCGCAUUUUAUAAGCGAAAUAAAUCAACAUAUGAAGAACCAUCGCCAUAUUCCAAUCAGUUUAUUAAACACACUUCAAUCAAUCCUUGUUCGAGAUUUCAUAGCUUUUUGGAUAACAACAACAACGGACGAUCGAUUGAUCAUUCAAUUUAAGCAGCGCACUGCUUCAAAGCGAAGUUAACUUUUUACACGUAGUUUCAAUCUCUGAUUAUUAGCCUUUGAAGUUGCUUGCCGCUGGUAAAGCACGUGCAUUUUAUAUAUGCCCAUAGACAGUGAAAGGAUUAAUAACAAAUCCAAUUGCACAUUAGAAAUUGACGAAUCAUAAAGAAGAUAAGGCAGGAAGGUAAAAAGGUUCGUAUGGGAAGCUCAGAGUUUUAAUUCAUAAUGCUAUUAAUUUAUAAUUUAUAAGCGUUUAAAGAUUUCCGGAGAAUCUGUGAAAUUAUUUCUAAAGGAAAUGUGACACAGACAGAAGACCAGUUCUGCUCCAUUUUGGACUAUUAUUUCUACAACGUAAGGAAUAUUUGAAGGAAUUCCACGUCCAGGACAACCAUUAAUUCCACGAAAGAAAGACAGCAUUCUUGCAGAAGGAAGAAAUCUCGAACGUUUAUUACAACUGCCAAGAAACAAUUAAUAAAAAUAUUUGCACUUGCUUACAACUGCUUGUAAAUUCUUACAGCUCUACGAUAAAGCAUUUUCGAAAACGAGUUGGCACGAACAUUUUCUACCUUUUGACGUCAUUAACGCAAGUUUCCUUCCGAUUUUACGCAGCGUUACUCUCCUUUCAAUACUUCAUAUAUCGAGUAUUUUAUAUUUACCAUUAUUUGUUACAUAGAUCUGGGACACGAAUCGCACUUCAUUUGCUACAUAUUAUCGUAAUAGAUGCAGCGAGCAAUGUCGUUGAACGAACGUCUUGUAGACGCUCGUAAUAGACAGCGAAAAGGUUAAUAACAAGUCGAACUACAGAAUUCGAAAUGAAGGAACGUUAUAUCUGAAAUCACAAGCAACAGAUGGUAAGGAGAAACGAUCGGAGGAAUGCAUUGUUUAUCCUGCCCGUGUCCAGCGACGUGUUACGGGCUGGCGCCAUGGUUCUCGCUAGCUGGGCAAUUUUAGCGAAGUUUCGUGGAGCUAAUGGAACGAAGAUGGAAUGUUGGCACGGUUCCGAGAGAGCGAAGGUGACGCGUUCCAGCGUGUCCUCGGACCACGGUGUGAAACAACUCGAGGACGGAAACAUCGUCUACGGCGAUUCGUUUUUGGAAACACGACGGAGGGUUCGCAGGAGGCUAGAAUCCACUCGUUGCUCGCGUGUUCUACGUCAAUCGUGCUUUAUGCAAUCCCCACUGGGUAUUUUCGAGCAAUACGAACAGAAUUUUGGAAGCAGAGUUCUCGAGCAAGUUUGCGGAGGGAGAAAGGAUGUGAAUUCGAGGGAAGAAGAACGUGGCCAUUGAAAUAUGGCUCUAAGAAUAAUUAUACCGAGAUAUACACGUGUUUAGAAUGAAAUGACGAAUGAGAAUUUUUAUCGUUUUUGACGUCGAUCUUCCCGAUACCGAUCUUUUCCAUUCCUUUAAUUUUAACGUUGAUCGUAAAUUUAGUAGCGUAGUUUCCUACAGAAAUUGUUUAUAGUGACUAAUACUGGUCCAAGGAAUACAUAUUUGAUUAUUAUUUUAUCGACACGAGUUAUGUUUAUUUUUAUUCUAUCUGGCGGAUCUAACAGGUUCUUUUCUUUUUCAAUUAUUUCGUGUUUAAAUAUUCAUCUUCAAUCAGAACGUGGUACUGAAACUUUUUUCUAUCUUUUGGAUCUAACAGGUUCCUUUCGUUCUCAAAUAUUCGUAUUUAAAUAUUCAGCUUCAGUCACAGCAUGGUGUUAAAAUGAAAAAACUGACGGACGUGUACCGGUCACGUUUCUGUUUCUACGGAUCUUUGUAUAUUUACGUUCGUUUUGUUCCUAUUAGAAAAUGAAUAGAAUUCGCUAAUGAGUGUCACGCACAGAGUUUAGAAACGGACGAAGGAUAAUUUUAGCCCACGAUAGCCCUUCGCGUAUAGAUAUGAUAAACAGGGUGAGAUAUGUGCAAUCGACAUAGAACAUCGACCCCAGUCAGGACCACCUACUACUAAAACUAAUCUAUUUUCAGUUUCCGAAAAAUUCGACGAGUAAUGAUUGACAUUGAUUGAAGUUGUUCAAUUAUAAAUGCACAAUUAUGCGACCAGUUUUCUACAUUUCCAUUGUCAUUGACGUCAAUGGAUUCGCCGUUGAAAAUAACCUUGGCACAUUUGCAACAUCUUCGAAAUCUUUUGUCGUGGCUCGACAUAAAAAUGUCUCAAUGGAAAAAACAUCGAGUGAAAUAUGGUUUCUUAGAAACCAACUUGCAUUAAUAUCGGCGUAUCGUAGAACGUUCAAACGUUAAUAUUUACAAUUGGCCUUAACUGAGGAUAGGGAUAAGUACACAGGCUGUUCACGCUGUUGGUUAUCAGCGUUUUUAGUAAGCAACAAGUGUGAGGGAAAAAUGAAAGCUGGAAAAUAUGAAUUACUCAAAAUGAAUUAUACGUUCACGAUGGUAUUUUUUUUCGCAAGCGCAAAAAUAUAUGUACAUCUUGCUUGACUGUGUCUUAAAUGAAAAUCUUCCUCUCUUUUGUGUACAUCGAAUCCUCUCGUCAUUCCACGAAAAAAGAAAAUAUGCUAACAUAAUAUGGUCGAAAACUACUUUAGAACAUAUUUUGCCUUUAAUUUUGUAAAAUAUCACAUGAGAGAACAGGGAACGACGUAACACAAUAUUCUUGUAUUUAUGUUUUCUCCAUCUUACAUAUGACAGAUUCGUUUAAAACAUAAAAGCGCACGUGCAUCUUUGCACCUGCGAAAAGAAUGUCGUGAAUACGUAGUUCGCUUUGCAACAUUUUUCCUCAUACUUAUCGUUGCGGGAAAAGCCUUGGGAAUUAAUAGCCUUGGACACCCUAUAUAAUUGACUAAUUAUUUUUCCGUCUAGUUACUCGUAUAUAUCAACAAUAAAUAACUAUAGUCACAUUGUAGCUCUAUUUGAAUUACUAAUUGUAAUUAUUCUUGUAAUAUUCCCAAGUGGUACGCUUAUCUCUACUUAUAUAUAUAUAUCAAUUUUAAUUAUUCUUACAGUUUCCUACAACAGGCAUCAAAUAAACAAUAAUCGUAAUCCUGGUUUAAGAAACGAUUAUGGUCACGCUUACUAUCAUCCAAUUACUGACUACAGUGUCCCUUAUCAUCGUUCUCAAUGAUUAUUAUCAUUCAUAUUCCAUGAAAAAUACUUAUGACCACUAUAACUUCAAUGAACAGUUCAUCACAUCGAACAUUCGACAGCGGAUACGUACACAGGCUUUAGGAAAGAGUAAGAGCGUUGUAAAAAUAGCCAUUGAUUCACAGUCGUUGCUUUUAUUGAUGCAGUGAGCAAGCAGGAUUGUUCACGUGCGAUGAACAUCUGUAUUUGGCAAACGAUAUCAUCGUCGAACGGAAGCAGUGACGUAGGCGAGUCGCGAGCGACCUUCCGGAAAUAAAUCGGUCACAGCGGCAUCAUCCGAAAAGCAUUUUGGUCUCAUUAACCUUCCCCCGCGAUGAAAAACGAUCUAUGAGGAUCACCGCGGGCUUUGGGCGUGCGCGCGCGCGCAGACAAAGCGAUCCGAUCGGACAAACCGCAGGAAAUCGUUGAAUAUUUCUGGAACGAGAUUCACGCAAACAAGCGUCAAAUAUUUUCGUACUCCACGAUUUGUUCGUUUUUUUAUACAAAAUUUUCGAUGGAGAUGGCCCCUAGUUAAUUUCGAAAUUAUUAAAAAUUUCAGCAAGAUUUGUAUCUUAAAGCAUCGUCGUAGUUGACAUCCGAGAUUAGACCAGUUACUUCUAAAUUGAUUUGAUCUGCAAGCUGAGAGAUCUUCGUCUGCAUUGAUUUUGUAUCGUGCACCCGAUGAUUCUUGAUAGUAAAGCCCUUCUAAUGAACAUGCAAAUUACUCUGGUAUUUUGAUACUUAAACUUUGGAAAUCUAUGUAGCAUGGAAUUUGUCUCUCAUCUAUAAAAAAAAAAAAAGAAAAAUGCAGAGAAUCCGUAUAAGACUUGAUUUUAUAUCACUUUAUCUUCAUACAGAUAAACUCUUUCUGAUAAACUCCUCUUUCCUGUUUUUACAUUUCUCGUGUAGUGGCAUGUUUAUAAUGCAGUGGAUGUGAAUCAUGCCGCGAAUAAUCCGUCUAAAGACUAAACGAAUGAUCAGCUGUACGAGACGAGACGACAGUGAGAAUCCAAAGCUGAGCGUACAGAGAACAGCAUGCACGUUUAAUAUCCACACGCGACACACGUCGGGGUAUAUUUUAGCCGAAGAGGCCGUUGGUCUGGCUCUAAAUACAGAAGAGAAUGUUCAACGCGAUUUGGGCGACGAUUAAAACCGCCCAGUGAGGUGUUCGACCGAACGAAGGGGUUCAAGAACGACGAAGACACACGACUAUUUCUGUCUCGAAGUAUCAUCGGUACGAUAUAGUCUGACGAGAAACUCGAGGGUUACGUGGUUGAUCGAUGUCGAUCGACCUGAUCUUAAGUAUCGUUCGAAUUAAUCAAGCUAGCUAACGAUAACGUUAACCAACUUUCUGUUAACGCGUUUCAUUUGCAAAUUUUUCCCAUCAAUUUACAUUCUCCAAUUCUGUCUUCCACAGCCUCGUCCAAUAUCUUCUCCACGCUAUUUCUUUCAUCUGGAUUCUAUAAUUUUAUGAAAUUUAAAGAAAUCAAGAUAUGUACGACAUUAAAAAGACAAAAAUUCAAACGACAUAAGGCAACUUGGAACUCCGCAACGGGCUAAUCGACCCAUUUGAAUGUUUUCUUAUUCCCAUACAUAAAGUUCUACUAUGUUACAAUUAAUAACAUUCCACAUUCUUGUUUCAGUAGCUCCAAAUCUUACCAAAUGAUAUAUUCGAAUUUCAAAAUGGCUUUUAUUCAAAUCGUUUCAGCUCAACAUUUCCUUUCACCUCUGACAUCCAUCUCGUUAAUUAGCAUUUUCCUUCAUGCACGUCGCAACAAUAACCGUAAUAUACCUAACUAUCGGCUGACCAAUGAAGCGGCAAGAAGCAUUUUGGGACAACAAUGACGCAAAGGAAACGAUCAACGUGGGUUAGGCCGCAACAUCGCGUGACAACGGUGCAACGGUAGAUCCGGAAACAAGUAGAACAAGUAGAAGAAGGUGUGGCAGACUGUGUACAAUCUAUGAGAUAAAAUGAAAACUAAAAGAAAAAAAGAACCGAUCGGCCGGAAAAAAAGAAAAGCUCGAAGGAGAUAUGCGAAAAAACAAUCGAUACGGUGCUCGGAUCCGAUGGAUGGAAUCCAAUGAUGACGACGAUGAUAACUUCGUGCGUGAACGUGACGUGAGAAAACAUGAAGAAACGUGAAGUGGAAAUGAGAAGACGAAGCUGUGCACAGCGUUACGAGCAACCAAUCGAUAAAUAUUUAAGAUGACGAUGACAACGAAAAAAGGAAACGAAAGAAACACAAGUGCGAACGUGAGGAACAAAAUUCUAGAAGAGAAUGUUCCAGUGUGUUAACGCAGUUAACACGACCGUUCGACAAAUCAAACUAUGGCUAUGUUUGACAGCGACGAACGAGUGCAUCGAACCUGGGUGCAGAGGACUCGUAGCUCGCGAGAUGAGUUAAAGAAAAUACGAAAUUAUUGCGAAGAUGCUGAUAUCGUGAUAAACGAGGAUAAAAUCAAGUACGUAUGUGUCUGUAUGAGUUGAUUCGAUGGUUGAUUACACGUAAUCACGCUGAACGAUUUUUUAAUCUUAUAAUGUGUUCUACGAGAUAAGGUUCUAAAGACUGAAUAAAAUUGUAUUAUAUUUAAAAGGGAAAACGUGCUCGAAAAUUUGAAGAGUGCUUGUAGAAAACACUUGACAAGUGCCAAGAAACAAGUUUCUCAGGAGAAAAAGGAAACCGAUGCAUUGAUGUAGUUCAAAUUCAGGAAAAAGAGAAGCGUAUCUGUAGAAAAGUCUGUACGUGCCAUCUUUUAUUUGUAAAGAAAACUUGGUGUUUAAUUCAUUCAGAUAGGUGGCACAGACAAAAGCCAAGCAACAAUUAACUAAAAUUUAUUGGUACUUAUAUUUUUCUCUGCAGAGGUGACGUUGUGGCACCAUCUUCUAGCACUUAGGUUAAUAGCCAUUUAGGAAGAUUAAAAUAGCACAUAAAUUCUAUACUACAGUAUUCUCAUUGGUAUGUAAGACAUUCCCCAAUGAAACAUCAAAAUUUUUCAAUUUUCGUACUUACAAUAUCUUCUACAAGGACUUUUCAAUUAUGUUGUAUAUUCCACUUUAAAGAAGAUAGGACAAUUUGUGAAGAAAAAUGUCUAACUAUUAAUGUAUGUAACAAAUUAAAGAUUUGAAAAAGAAAUAGCAGGUAAAAGUUGAAUGUUCUUUGACUCGACUUGAAUGUUUUCUGCAAAUGACUAAUACAAGAUCUCAUCAAAGAUUGACAUAUGUCAUAUACAACAAUCUACAGAAAUAUCCCAUAAGCUAUAAAAAAGAAAGAAAUAAUAAUAAAACUGUAUAACGAAGUUAAGUGAUCAGAUUUAAACCUUGAUAUCUUCAAAGAACCGACUUAAUUAAUUAAUCCUUCAUCCAGACUACAAAAACGUUUCCCUGAAUAAGCUUCGUAAAAGUGUAAAAUUAACUUCACAAACGUUCAGCGUGUCAACGUAUAACGAGAAAAUAAAAUCGUUGCCGUCGAUGACCAA